ensembl:lncRNA
AGCUCAGGUGUGCCUACUCCACAAGCUCUGCCCUGCAGUUGAUCCACCUGGUCCUGAAAAUGGGCACCAAUAAAAGUCCUCCCUUGACCUCUGUGCUGCUAAUUAUCAAGGCACUGGUUGGCCCACUCAGAGAGAGAAAUUUGCUUUGGGCCAAGUUUUCUUUCAGCAGAGCCCAGAGAAGGGCUGGAGGCCUGACCAGUGGGGCCGAAGCCAAAAUUGCUAUAUCCGGAAGAUCUACCAUCAGACCCAGAACAGCCUCAUCCCUGAGUCACACUUUCCUGCCACCUCGGUGUACCUCCCAGCACUCAUGUAUUCUGCACAGGGCUGUUUUUUCAUCUUAAACCAGCGGACAACCUUCUUCGAAGCAGGCACUAUUCUCUCUACUUAAAAGAAAUUCAAGGCUCAGAGUGAGAACACUGGUACAGAAGAAACGCUUGCCCCUCGGUCUAAUCCCAGAGCCUGAAGGAACUCUUUCCAAGAAUCCACAUUUGUGUAUUUCAUGGACGUUUCUGGAGGGAAGCCCCUCCUGAAGAAGGAGACAAACUUCACCCCCCAGAACAGCAGCUCCGGCUGUGUUACUCAGUCGCCGAGGAAACAUGGAGGCCUUUUGGGGCUGGAAGCAGCCUGCAGUCUGAGGAGCCACCUCCCGGCAGACGGCUUGGCCAGAGCUGCCUCUCCCUGGGUGCUGGCCGCCAGCAUGGGCCCCCAGCACCCUCAGCGCCCCAGACCUGUUCUCAAGGCAGUCCGGACCUCCUGCCUGGAGCUGCGGUUUCUGAACCACUGCCCAUGGUUCCGGAUUUCACAAGCUGGCUCCUCCUUGCAGGGAAAACCCAGGCCUCCCUGGAAGGGUGUGCCCUGGUAGAGAGGGAGGUGUGGG